AAGGUUUUAAGUUAAAUAAACUAAUAGCCUUCAAAGCUAUAAAUAUAAGGAUAUCUUUUAAGCCUUA
rnacentral:tRNA from 1 species